rnacentral:lncRNA from 1 species
UAUCAAGUCUAGAGGAUUGAUAGGAUUCAGGCUUACUUUUGUGGCAGAAGAUCUUCCCAAGGAAGCCAGUAAGCAGAGCUGAGAACUUGCACCAGGCUACCAGCCUCCUGGCUGAGAAAGAAAGCAGACGCACACGUUUCCUCAGCUGUCCCUUGGAACCUGCAGCGGCCAACCAGCUCCUUCAAAAGGUCUGUGGAUUCCCUCAGCUUCCCUGGUUAUGUUCCUAAUGGUAGUUCUUGGAACAAAAAUUCAUGAUGUGAUCUCCAU